UACAGAGGUGGCAAGCGUUGUUCGGAAUUACUGGGCGGAAAGGGCGCGUAGGUGGCCUUCUUAGUCAGACGUGAAAUCCCCGGGCUUAACUCGGGAACUGCGUCUGAUACUGGAAGGCUCGAGUUCGGGAGAGGAAUGUGGAAUUCCAGGUGUAGCGGUGAAAUGCGUAGAUAUCUGGAGGAACACCGGUGGCGAAGGCGGCAUUCUGGACCGAAACUGACGCUGAGGCGCGAAAGCCAGGGGAGCAAACGGG
rnacentral:rRNA from 1 species